rnacentral:rRNA from 1 species
AGAUACCCGGGUAGUCCACGCCGUAAACGAUGACAACUAGCUGUUGGGAGACAAAGUCUUUCAGUGGCGCAGCUAACGCUUUAAGUUGUCCGCCUGGGGAGUACGGCCGCAAGGCUAAAACUCAAAUGAAUUGACGGGGACCCGCACAAGCGGUGGAGCAUGUGGUUUAAUUCGAUGCAACGCGAAAAACCUUACCUACUCUUGACAUACUUGGGAGCUCUUGUAAUGAGAGUGUGCCUUAUGGAACCAAGAUACAGGUGCUGCAUGGCCGCCGUCAG